AAGCGGGAAUUGCCUUGACGGGAGCUCAGGUGAGGUGGAGAAUGCCGGGUGUUCCUCCAGCGAUUCCGACUACGACGAGGAUGAGCCGCGCAAGUUUUACGUGCACAUCAAACCGGUGCAGCCGCGGGAAGCGGCCGGCAGCGCCGAGGCCGCCGUGGAGCAGCUCAAGGCCACCGUGGGAAAUCUCAUCCUGGCCCCCGGUGUCGGGGGCACCGUCAGGAGGCAGGCGUCACGUAAGUGGCACCGGGGAGGUGGCAGCGAGGCUUGGGGACAUCACAGCAUUCCCGAGCUCCUUUCCUUGGGGACAUCACAGCAUUCCCGAGCUCCUUGGGGACAUCGUGUCCUUCCUCAGCCUCAUUCCUUGGGAAUAUCACAGCAUUCCCGAGCUCCUUUCCUUGGGGACAUCACAGAAUUCCCAAGCUCCGUUCCUUGGGGACAUCACAGAAUUCCCGAGCUCUGUUCCUUGGGGACAUCACAGAAUUCCCAAGCUCCAUUCCUUGGGGACAUCACAGAAUUCCCGAGCUCCAUUCUUUGGGGACAUCACAUCAUUCCUGAGCCUCAUUCCUUGGGGACAAUGCCACCCUUCUUGAGAGCCACUCCUUGGGGACAUCACAGAAUUCCUGAGCUCCAUUCCUUGGGGACAGUGCCAUCCUCCCUUAGACCAAAUCCCUGGGGACAUCACAUCCUCCCUGAACCCCCUUGGUGACAGUGCCACCCUUCCUGACCCCCUUUAGGGACAGUGCCACCCUCCCUGAGCCCUCCUGGGGACAGUGCUACCCUUCCUGACCCCCUUUGGUGACAGUGCCACCCUCCCUGAGCCCCCUUGGUGACAGUGCCACCCUCCCUGACCCCCUUUGGUGACAGUGCCACCCUCCCUGAGCCCCCUUGGGGACAGUGCCACCCUCCCUGAGCCCCCUUUGGGACAGUGCCACCCUCCCUGAGCCCCCUUUGGUGACAGUGCCACCCUCCCUGAGUCCCCUCGGGGACAGUGCCA
rnacentral:lncRNA from 1 species